AAGCCACUGUAGCGAUCCCCAACUCAGCUCUCACACAGGCGACAGCGCGGCGGGGCACGCCCGCUACGUCCGUACUUCGCCGGCCGCUGUCCACAGUUGCCCACCCAGCGAGGCAGCGAGCCUCCUCCUUCUCCGGCCUCUCUCUGCCGUCGACGCCUCGGCCUCGCCCGUCCCCCGCCCGCCAUCUCUCAUCUGCUGAGCCGUCAAUCUUACGGAACGAGCGGUCGCAGCUGCUCCGGUCGCCGGCUAGAUCUGCAGCGCCAUCCCUCCACCCGCUCACCACCGUGAUCUACCUGCCGUCACCGGUCCUCUCCCUCUGCCGCACCUCCGACUGAGGUGGAGUUCAACAGAAUGAGAGAAUUUUCACCCGUGUUCAGUUGAAGUUCGAGAUUUCAUGAUGUAUUAGUACUUACUAAUCUGGCAAAGAUCAUAAAAUGUAUACCUGGCCAAACCUCGGGCCGGGCCGGGCCUAGCCAAGCCCGAGGCAAAAAACCCAGGCCCGAGCCCGGCCCGGCCAUCAGGCCUGGUUUUUAGGCCCAAUCCCGGCCAGGACACAUAAAAGCCCGGCGGGCCUCGGGCCGGGCCCCUUCAGGAAAUCACAAAAACGACGGGCCCGGCAGUCUCCCUGCGUCGCCCCUGGGUCAGAAGAACUAGUGCGGAUUGUACUCCUUUUGCUGAACUCAGCGUUGUAAUAACUGGACUUGAUAUUUUGCUGAACCUGUUCUGAGAGGCUUCUUUUAAUUAAAAAAAAGGAUAUUAUAGAACUGAA